AAUAAAAUAAGCUAAUGAAAAGCUUUUAGGCUCAUGUCCUAAAUAUGGAAGGAUAAAAACCUCCUUUUAUUU
rnacentral:tRNA from 1 species